rnacentral:piRNA from 1 species
UGACUAUCCAACAAAAUCUUC